rnacentral:rRNA from 1 species
GACGAACGCUGGCGGCGCGCCUAACACAUGCAAGUCGAACGAGCGAGCGAGAGCUUGCUUUCUCGAGCGAGUGGCGAACGGGUGAGUAACGCGUGAGGAACCUGCCUCAAAGAGGGGGACAACAGUUGGAAACGACUGCUAAUACCGCAUAAGCCCACGACCCGGCAUCGGGUAGAGGGAAAAGGAGCAAUCCGCUUUGAGAUGGCCUCGCGUCCGAUUAGCUAGUUGGUGAGGUAACGGCCCACCAAGGCGACGAUCGGUAGCCGGACUGAGAGGUUGAACGGCCACAUUGGGACUGAGACACGGCCCAGACUCCUACGGGAGGCAGCAGUGGGGAAUAUUGCACAAUGGGGGAAACCCUGAUGCAGCGACGCCGCGUGGAGGAGGAAGGUCUUCGGAUUGUAAACUCCUGUUGUUGAGGAAGAUAAUGACGGUACUCAACAAGGAAGUGACGGCUAACUACGUG